rnacentral:rRNA from 1 species
UAAUACGUAGGGGGCAAGCGUUGUCCGGAUUUAUUGGGCGUAAAGAGCUCGUAGGCGGUUCGGCAAGUCGGGUGUGAAACCCCCAGGCUCAACCUGGGGACGCCACCCGAUACUGCUGUGACUUGAGUCCGGUAGGGGAGCGUGGAAUUCCUGGUGUAGCGGUGAAAUGCGCAGAUAUCAGGAGGAACACCAGCGGCGAAGGCGGCGCUCUGGGCCGGAACUGACGCUGAGGAGCGAAAGCGUGGGUAGCAAACAGGAUUAGAUACCCUGGUAGUCCACGCCGUAAACGUUGGGCACUAGGUGUGGGGCCUUAUCAACGGGUUCCGUGCCGCAGCUAACGCAUUAAGUGCCCCGCCUGGGGAGUACGGCCGCAAGGCU